CUUGUACUCCCUCAUUCCGAAAAUACUUGUCAUUGAAAUGGAUGUAUCUAGAUGUAUUUUAGUUCUAGACACAUCCAUUUUGAUGACAAGUAAUUCCGGACGGAGGGAGUACUUG
rfam:Triticum urartu cultivar G1812 contig1081152, whole genome shotgun sequence.